UGUGGGUAGCGGAGAAAUUCCAAACGAACUUGGAGAUAGCUGGUUCUCUCCGAAAUAGCUUUAGGGCUAGCGUCGACAUAAAGAUUCUUGGAGGUAGAGCACUGUUUGGGUGAGGGGUCCAUCCCGGAUUACCAAUCUCAGAUAAACUCCGAAUGCCAAUGAAUUAUGGUCGGCAGUCAGACUGCGAGUGCUAAGAUCCGUAGUCGAAAGGGAAACAGCCCAGACCACCAGCU
rnacentral:rRNA from 1 species